rnacentral:lncRNA from 10 species
CAAGGUCGCAUAGCUAGUAAAUCAUGGUUGUAGCACCAGAUCCCAUGUCUUCUCAUAUACUGCACCCUUUUCUCUAUACUAAUCUUAUCUUGGUUUAUUAUCAACAUCCAUUUGCUUUUGGCAGGGAAGGGUCCAGAAUCUUCAUUUUACAGAACAACGAAUUGAGGGCAUCUGGGACCUCUUUUUCAAGGUCACCUUCUCCUGGUCUGAAACCAAAAUGAAAACAAAUAGAAUCCAAGUGUGCUGUAGCUCCUGACAUCCCUCCGUGGGCUCGGCCAGCCCCUGCAUGGAAGCCUCCACAUGGGUUCACCAGGCUGUUCUUCGGGCUCUCCCAAAGUGGCUGCUUUUCCGUCAAUAUGAAUGGCAUGACUGGCCCCAUCUCCCUUUUUUCUUCGGGUGCCAGGAAGCCUGGACUGUUGAGCUAACUUUACGGUCCAACCAUAGCAACUAUGUCAGUGUGCAGAUAACUGAAGGUGCCUUUCCCUCCCUGGCUUGGCUUCUCCCUCUUACUUCUCUUCCCAAGCUCUCAAUUUGCUUUAUUUUUGUAUAUUUUACCACGAUAUUGUCUCUCUGUGUGUCUUUAUAUAAAACUUGAGUUACUCCAGUUCUGCCAAUCUGUGUAAUCACUUGGCAUUUUUAUUUGUGUUCAUAAUUUUCAGCCAUGGAGACAUUUGAAAGACAACAAAAUCGAUCCUGGAGAAACAGAGAUGUGGGCACUAUUGCAAUUUAUAGAAUUUAUUGUGAAAUUGGACUUUGAUGAAUCUUUGCCAUACAUAUUCUGUUGCUUAAGAUUUUUUGUAACAAUUUAUGUGUCUAUUGCUUUAUGUGAAAGACGCUUUUCAAAAUUAAAAUCAGUAAACAGUGUUCUGUGAUUAACCAGGAACAAAAGUAGAUGGACAACUGCUCAAUGAACAUGAAACUAUGAAGAUCAAUUUUUCUUCUAGGUCAUGGACAAAUUAAAGUAGUUAAGUGUUAAAAACAGAGACCAUGAUGUCAUUCCUCAUGACUACAAUAGACCAAUAUUUAACUCUAAG